rnacentral:lncRNA from 1 species
GGGCGCGACUUGCCCUCAGCUCCCCACCUCCCCGUCCCGGGGCGACAGUGACAUAAGCAAAUCUGGGCAGAGAGGUGGAAGUCAGGUCCCUGUGGACGUGGGAGGCGGUCCCUUCCUCUUUUGGCUCCAAAGUGCGAAAGGAGGCAGACACAGCGGUCUCCAUUACAGCCAGGGCAAGGGGGCUAAUAGCUCCCUAGAACUGAUGGAAGUCUCCAUUCUGGGAAGCAUUUCUUAUUCCUAUCGAGGUUUUAAAAACACCUGGCGAUGGUCCUCUGGAAAUUGAGGGUUUAAAAUUUCAGCAAGAGCUGAAGUUAAACUUCCAGAAACAUUUACUAUAUAUAGGUUUAGUGCUUAAGAAACAAAGAGUGGGUGUCCUGGGAUUUUGAAAACCCCAUUCUGGGUAGGGCAUUAGGACUGUAGGGACAGAGAAGGUGGGGUGCCUUUCCUCCCCAUCAUAAGGAUCACAGCUGACAUGCCUGUAGAAAAAGGUUAGCAAGAGAAAAGCAUAACGAUUUAUUUAAUUAAAGUUUUCUGUGACAUGAGAGUCUUCAGAAAUGAAGACCCAAAGACUCAAGGAAAACUCUAUUUUUAGGCUUAGAUUCUAUGAAGACCAUGGAAAUGCGCAGAAAUGUGAGUGGGGAAAAAGGGAAUGGUCUAAUAGUAAUAAACUGAGUGGGAAACCCAGCAAGGCUUGUCUGUUCGUAUUCUUCUUGGCCUAUCUGUGGCCAAACCACCUGGCUUAGAAGCAGAAAAUAAAUUUGCUCCCUGUGUAGUCUUUAACAUGUUGCAGUUACUCUCUGGGCCUCAGUUUCCUCAGCUAUGUAAUGAUGGGAUUGAUUAGUGAUCUCCAGUGCCCUUCUGGCUCUGGCUAGAUGACUUGUUUCUAAAGUAAGUGACAGACGGAGACCAGGAGUCCUUUGAGAAUAGGGCCCAUAAUCACCACCUGGCACAGGGCCUAGCACACAAGAGAUGUAAAGUAUUUGCUGACUUAAUCAUUCAUUACAUUAAAAAAACAAAAUCUCCAUGGAACACUUAGGAUCAGACCAGGCAGUUCUAGGGCUGGGCUGUCUAGGUAUGAUCCCGUUCACAGAUGGGGAAUGUGAUGGAAUCAGUCUCAAAUCUCUCUGACCACCAGAGUCAACUGGGAAGCCUUUAAUACAGAUUCCUGGACCCCACUUUGGAAUCACUGCAUUAGAAUCUCUAGGGGCAGAAGCUGAAAAUCUGUCUUCAGACAUGUUCUAAGGUUAUUGUGAGGCAGUUGGCCUGGCUGUAGCCUUGGUAGUGUGAGUCCUAGGAUUAAGUGCCUUCUGGAACUUUCUUCUGACCAAGAAAUGCCUUGAGAAACCAUACCUUUACUAUGAUUAAAGGUAUUAACAUCCCCCUGGGAAUUUGGAAGAUGUCUCUCAAGUUUUGCAUUCUCUACGAAGUCUUCCCACCUCAAACCACAGCCUGUUGAAGUGGAAGGAACCACAGAGGCCAGGAAGUCUUUAGCUGAGUUAAAGCCUGGGAGCAUAUGAACAAUGGCUGACACACAGAUAAAGCUGAAGGUUCAAACAAGUGGUGGAAGGAGUAUGGAAAUUAAUCUUGUGGAAGUGGUUCUCUGUGUGAGAAACAUCGGCCUGACCACCUGACUUUCUGAUCACAUUCCACUGGGAAAAAGUCCAAGGAACAUCCCUAUCACAUUCUGCUGGAACAAGGACCAAGUCACCUCAUCAUGGGAACAUCUUAUCAAUAGCCUGUUGGGCAGCAAGCCAUACUGCCCAGACCCCUCCCUCCCAUACCUGCAAAGGCCCAACUAAAGAAACCUCCCUAUCCUGUCUUACUGGGCAAAGGCCCAAGGAACACCAUGAUGACAUCCCACCAGAAAAAGGGUCAAACCACCCUAUCAUGGGUACAUCUUAUUGAUAUCCUGCCGGGCAGCAAGCCACACUAUCCAGA